UAUCAGUCAUGCAUAGCAUAUCAAUAAGCGGAGGAAAAGAAACUAACAAGGAUUCCCCUAGUAACUGCGAGUGAAGCGGGAAGAGCUCAAAUUUGAAAUCUUAAAAGGUUUUCCUUUUACGAAUUGUAGUUUAAAGAAGUGUUUUCUGUUGAAAUUUUAGUAAAAGUUCUUUGGAAUAGGACAUCAUAGAGGGUGAGAAUCCCGUAUUUGACUAGAAUUUUUCAACUUUGUGAUACACUUUCAAAGAGUCGGAUUGUUUGGGAAUGCAGUCCAAAAUGGGUGGUAAAUUUCAUCUAAAGCUAAAUAUUGGCGAGAGACCGAUAGCGAACAAGUACCGUGAGGGAAAGAUGAAAAGAACUUUGAAAAGAGAGUUAAAUAGUACGUGAAAUUGUCAAAAGGGAAGCGUUUGGCACCAGUGUUGUUUUUCUAAAAAUCAAUUUAAAAUUUGCUUAUGCUAAGUUUUUUAGACUUAAUCGGCUAAUAAUUUAGUUUUUUGUAAUUUUUGAAUGCACUUUUUAGUUAACAAGUCAACAUCAAUUUCUUUUGUUGUAAAAGAAUAAGAGGAAGGUGGCUUGGGAUUACGUUUCAAGUGUUUAUAGCCUUUUAUUUCUGCAAUAGGAGGGAUUGAGGUCUGCAGCAUAGAUCCUUCGGGGCUAGAUGCAUUUUCGCUAAGAGUCAGUAUUAUAUAAACAACUUGUUGAUUAUGUAGUAUGUUGGAUUUUUACUCGGGAGUGUUAUUUUACCUACGCUUAGGAUGUUGACGCAUGAGAUAUACGC
rnacentral:rRNA from 1 species